CCUUUCCUGUGCCCUUUUAAGGUUGAUUCAGUGCUUUAAGAGGCUAACACAGAAGGGUAAAGUAAGUCUCCAUAAAACUCAGAGAGGAGGUUGUAAAACUCGUCUUUGGAUCCUGUCUGGAGACACAGUU
ensembl:snoRNA